GAUGAACGCUGGCGGCGUGCCUAAUACAUGCAAGUCGAGCGAACGGACGAGAAGCUUGCUUCUCUGAUGUUAGCGGCGGACGGGUGAGUAACACGUGGAUAACCUACCUAUAAGACUGGGAUAACUUCGGGAAACCGGAGCUAAUACCGGAUGAUAUUUUGAACCGCAUGGUUCAAAAGUGAAAGACGGUCUUGCUGUCACUUAUAGAUGGAUCCGCGCUGCAUUAGCUAGUUGGUAAGGUAACGGCUCACCAAGGCAACGAUGCAUAGCCGACCUGAGAGGGUGAUCGGCCACACUGGAACUGAGACACGGUCCAGACUCCUACGGGAGGCAGCAGUAGGGAAUCUGCCGCAAUGGGCGAAAGCCUGACGGAGCAACGCCGCGUGAGUGAUGAAGGUCUUCGGAUCGUAAAACUCUGUUAUUAGGGAAGAACAUAUGUGUAAGUAACUGUGCACAGCUUGACGGUACCUAAUCAGAAAGCCACGGCUAACUACGUG
rnacentral:rRNA from 1 species